rnacentral:lncRNA from 1 species
CUAAGAUCAAGGUGCUGACUGUGUAUCCUCUUUUUGGUUUGAAGAGGGAGAACUUCUUGCUUUGUUUCUUCUCAGGUGAAUAAAGAGAACUCUAGCUUCUCAUCUUAUGAGUUCAAAAAUUCCAUAAUGGAAGCUGCACACUUCGCACCUUGCUGGACCUAGCAGCCUCCCAAACACCCUGUACCAUCAUACUGCACAACUGGGGGUUAAAGUUACAGCAUUGGGAUUUGGGGUAGAAGCAUAAUUAUGCACCCUAUAUUAUUAUUAAAAAGUUGUCUCUUUGGCAUUUAAAUAUGAGUAAAAAAACUAUUUGAAAAUAAUUGUUAAAAUUUAGACUGUUUAAUUAAUUUACUUAGCAAGUAUUUUAAGUUAUUGCACCAUUUAAGAGACCAUAAGAACCGAAUAUCAAUGAUAAUACUUUUAUAGGUGUGGUUUGUGUUAUUCAUUCAUUGGAUAGUUUUGUUGGGUUAUGAGAACAUAAAGUGUAGACUGGUUUACAUAUACAUUCAUGUUUUAAUAAUUACUUGUUUACAUGACUUUGAAAAGACCAAAUCCUAACUCCUGAGUUAGACAAAAGGCUUCUACUCUAGUAGAGAGACUUGGGUGACACUCUGGAGUAUGGACUUGGAGCCCCAUCAGAAUAUCUCCUCCAUCUUCUCUGCCCAGCCUUCCUCACUGAGCCAGGAAGCCGGGUCAGAGGAGGAAAGCUAUGAGAUCAGGGUCACAGAGUGUCAAAAACAUGAAUCUGAAGAAAGAAGACAAAGGAGAAAUUGGGGUUGAAAACUGGAAGAGAUUAAGAGAAAUAAAAAAAAAAUAAAGUGUUCAAGAAGAAUAAAGGCAGAAUUUGCUGUGGGGCGAAGAUACUAAGAAUUAUAUAUGCAUGCCUUCAUAAAUUCACAAAUAAAGCUAACAUUUAAUGGGAUGCUGUUCCCAUUAAACUGUUAAGUGCCUUCUCAUAGCCUUGUCAUAUAAAACAUUUUAGCCUUGAGUGAAAGAGUUUCACCCUUUAAUCCAUAAAUACUUGAAAGCUCACAUGAUGUCUACUAAUUUUUUUUUUAAUGAAGGGAAAAAAGUUUCUUAAUUUGGUGAAGAAAAUAUAACAUAAUAAAGGAUUGGUAUUAUCUUCAGUCUUGUCUUCCAGUAAAGUCCUAGAAAGCAUUUUCAUGAGCCUCUUCUAAAUCUUCAAAAGAUCAUUUGCUGUCUUCAAACACCAACUCUUACAGUAAAUAAGGGCUACUUUCUAUGUAAUUCCACUAACUUUUAGUGCUUUAACUGCAAAAUUAUUUUAUAUUCUUAAUACAUUAUUAAAUUGGUGAAAUAAAU